GGUAUAUAUGCAGGGGAAGGGUCUCACCUCGAGGACGUACUGCCAGGCGCGUUCCACGUCUCCCUGGGAGGAGAAGCGCCUCAUGAUCAUAGAGUGGAGCUCAGGGAACUGGAACAGACAGCCAGAUCGUGCGUGAGUCGUUUAAGGUCUCCUGUUGUGACGUGGUCCUAAAUGAGGCCGCCCUCCUGUGUGAAGGCGUGCGCCCAGCGCCUCACCUGUUGGCAGGCGAAGAGCACCGGGCCCGUGGCGAGGCCCAGCUUGAGGUCGGCCGCCGACGGCUUCCCCAGGUGAGCGGCGCACGCCGUGAAGUCCAACACAUCGUCCACCAGCUGGGGGGAGAGAGAGAGAGAGAGAGAGAGAGAGAGAGUCAUCCAGUCAUCUGGUUUAGAUUCUGUUUGCAAUCUUAUCCAGCUUUUCUCCUGUCCCUCUCCUAAACUAUCUCACCCAUUAGAAAUGGGACUAACCAAUUCGAGAACAAAUAAUAAUAAUCCCAAAACUUAAUAUUUAGAUCAUAUUGUUCCAUUUUACAUCCCAGUACAAUCAAAGCAUAUAAAGAACACCAUUACAAAUCAAUUAUAACAAUAAGAAUCAGCAGUUAUUAACAUUAGCGUAAUUUAAUUGUAAUUAAUAUUAACGUUUUUUUUGUUGUUUUUUUAAACAAGAAGCGAGAGGUCAGCACGCACCUGGAACGCAAUGCCCACGUUCUUGCCGUACUGGAACGCUAUCUCAUGCACUUCCGGGUCAGAGUUCACCAGGAUGGACACCUUUUAAAGACAGACACACAGACAGACGGACAGAGGACGGUGAGCAGGGCGUGUCGCGGGGAGCCGGCCGCGGCGGGGGAAGGUGCGUACUGAACGUACAUACUGCUCGACAGCUGUUGGCGAUGAGGCUGGCCGUCUUCUUGAAGGUCUUGUCCAAGUAGUGCUUGAAGCGCUCGUUCUCGUUCUCCUUGGAGCCCAUCUGCAUGAACUCCCCUGGGGAGGGAAGAAUGACCGACGGGUGAGACAGAAAAGAGUAAAGCAGCUUUCACACCGCCGCGCGGCAACUCGCCGCCUCCAUUCAUUUCAAUGAGGGAAGGGCGGCAGAGGGGAGGCGCUUACAAAAGCGGCUGUUGGACCAGGAAGCGGUUGCUGUUUGCACGUGUGCAAACAGCUUAAUGCUUUUCUCCGGGGCUUUUAUUUUGAAGAGUAAACGUGUGGUAGUCGUGAUUGGGUAACGGUGUAUCUGUUGUGGAAGUUAGGCAAUCAGGCACUUCCAGCAAAUGUUGCAGUGAGUUCAACCACAUUAAACCACCGUCUAUCUACCCUCCGGAAUUCCCUCCCUCUGGCCAUCCGAAACUCUGAUACACUCCUUUCAUUCAAAAGUCAACUUAAAUCCCAUAUUUUAAGGACCACCUACAACAUCUGACAAACACACACACACACACACACACACACACACACACACACACACACACACACACACACACACACACACACACACACACACACACACACACACACACACACACACACACACACACACACACACACAC